rnacentral:misc_RNA from 1 species
GUGCGUCAAGGUGACUGCCAAUGGUCGCUCUGUCAACCUCCUUCAAAUCGAUAGCUCUGGCGGCGCCUACGACAUCAGCUACGACGCCUACGUCUACCUCGCGACUGGCAACUCCGCCGUCGAUGACCCCAUCCAGGGUGGCAAGAUGGACGCCGAGUACGAGUCCGUUGACAUGAGCGAGUGCGCUGACCUCAUCAACACACCCGACCCCGCG